rnacentral:rRNA from 1 species
GACAGAGGGGGCAAGCGUUGCUCGGAAUUACUGGGCGUAAAGGGCGCGUAGGCGGAAUGGCAAGUCGGUCGUGAAAUCCUUCGGCUCAACCGAAGAACGUCGAUCGAAACUGCCGUUCUUGAGGAUUGCAGAGGAGACUGGAAUUCCCGGUGUAGCGGUGAAAUGCGUAGAUAUCGAGAGGAACACCUGCGGCGAAGGCGGGUUGCUGGGCUGACACUGACGCUGACAGCGCGAAAGCUAGGGGAGCGAACGGG